CCCUUAGAUGUUCUGGGCCGCACACGCGCUACACUGAAGGAGGCAGCGUGUACUCCUGGAUCGAAAGAUUUGGGUAACCCGCGAAUCUCCUUCGUGCUAGGGAUUGAGGUUUGCAAUUAUCCUUCAUGAACGAGGAAUUCCCAGUAAGUGCAAGUCAUAAGCUUGCGCUGACUACGUCCCUGCCCUUUGUACACACCGCCCGUCGCUACUACCGAUUGAAUGAUUUAGUGAGGACUUCGGACUGGGACCGAUGCGGCUUUCGGGCUGCGUCGGUAUUCUGGAAAGAUGUCCAAACUGUAUCAUUUAGAGGAAGUAAAAGUCGUACCA
rnacentral:rRNA from 1 species